AUUUAUCUGAUCCGCUUCGCAUAAUAUGUGAAUAAUCUGUUCUUAUCAGUUUAAUAUCUGAUACGUCCUCUACCCGAGGACCAUAUAUUAAUCUGAUUUUUGGAACAGGGAGACGGAAGAGGGGCUUGCUCCGUCCGCUCCACGCAUCGACCCGGUAUUGCAGCGACUCCGGGAACGGUGCACAUUCC